GACGAACGCUGGCGGCGUGCUUAACACAUGCAAGUCGAACGGAAAGGCCCUGCUUUUGUGGGGUGCUCGAGUGGCGAACGGGUGAGUAACACGUGAGUAACCUGCCCUUGACUUUGGGAUAACUUCAGGAAACUGGGGCUAAUACCGGAUAGGAGCUCCUGCUGCCUGGUGGGGGUUGGAAAGUUUCGGCGGUUGGGGAUGGACUCGGGGCUUAUCAGCUUGUUGGUGGGGUAGUGGCUUACCAAGGCUUUGACGGGUAGGCGGCCUGAGAGGGUGACCGGCCACAUUGGGACUGAGAUACGGCCCAGACUCCUACGGGAGGCAGCAGUGGGGAAUAUUGCACAAUGGGCGGAAGCCUGAUGCAGCAACGCCGCGUGCGGGAUGACGGCCUUCGGGUUGUAAACCGCUUUCGCCUGUGACGAAGCGUGAGUGACGGUAAUGGGUAAAGAAGCACCGGCUAACUACGUG
rnacentral:rRNA from 1 species